GCAGUGGUGGUUGAGUGGUAGAAUUUUUGCCUUCCAUGUGGAAGACCUGGGUUUGAUUCCUGGUCCAUGCA
rnacentral:tRNA from 1 species